rnacentral:rRNA from 1 species
GACGAACGCUGGCGGCGUGCUUAACACAUGCAAGUCGAACGGAAAGGCCCUGCUUUUGUGGGGUGCUCGAGUGGCGAACGGGUGAGUAACACGUGAGUAACCUGCCCUUGACUUUGGGAUAACUUCAGGAAACUGGGGCUAAUACCGGAUAGGAGCUCCUGCUGCAUGGUGGGGGUUGGAAAGUUUCGGCGGUUGGGGAUGGACUCGCGGCUUAUCAGCUUGUUGGUGGGGUAGUGGCUUACCAAGGCUUUGACGGGUAGCCGGCCUGAGAGGGUGACCGGCCACAUUGGGACUGCGAUACGGCCCAGACUCCUACGGGAGGCAGCAGUGGGGAAUCUUGCACAAUGGGCGGAAGCCUGAUGCAGCAACGCCGCGUGCGGGAUGACGGCCUUCGGGUUGUAAACCGCUUUCACCUGUGACGAAGCGUGAGUGACGGUAAUGGGUAAAGAAGCACCGGCUAACUACGUG